CUGCCCCUGCCCACUGCCUGCUUUGUGGCCUCAGGCUCACUGCCUGCUCGGACCACACCUUUGCCUUAGAAUCACAAACCUACUGGGUUCUGUGUGCCGCUCACCAGCAGCCUCCAGACAUCCUUUCAGCAGCCUCGGUGGGGCCCCCACCCUUUACCCAGCACCCUUAUCCACCAGUGCCUGGACCCCUCCAUUGUUCCUGCACCCUUUACCCCCAAAUGUACAUGCUUCCUGAGAUCAACUUUCUUCUCUGGAUUUACUGUCCUCUGAUCAUCUUAUCUACUCCUAGGGUUUCAACUAGCACCCUCAAGUGGAAGAGGUCUAAGAAUAUAAAGGUCAUUUUCUUUUUCUUUUUUUGAAGAUUUUAUUUAUUUAUUCAUGAGAGACACACAGAGAGAGGCAGAGACAUAGAGGGAGAAGCAGGCUCCCUGUGGGGAGCCUGAUGCGGGACUGGAUCCCAGGACCCCGGGAUCAUGACCUGAGCCAAAGGCAAAGGCUCAACCACUGAGCCACCCAGGUGUCCCAUAAAGGUCAUUCUCAAGUUAGAAUGACCAGGGCCCGAGGUUGAUUGGUAGAGGAAGAAGAAAAAGAGUGAAAGUCAAGAGGAAGGCUGAGUCCCAUGAAGGAUGGCCCAUCACCACAGCCGUGGAGGGAAAGACCCAGGCCGCCGUGGGCUCUGAAUCCUCUGGCCUGGCAUAGUGCCCGCCACAGAUGGGUGCAGAGUCUCUGCUGGAUGGAUGAAUGAAUGAACGAGUGAAGGUACAGAUGAGUUCUUCUCUCUCCGGAUCCUAGUGCAUUUUCUGGAGCCACCGUCCCUCCUGAUACACAAGGCCAAGGGAGGAAGUGACUAAGCCAGCCAAGUUCAGAGAGGAAACAUUAGCCCCUGUGACAUCUGCCCGGGAACGGGAGACUAAGAGAGGACAGGAUGGGCACCCAGAAUCCGAAGCAGCACCCCAACUCUUGCUGGCUCUUACAAAAGCUUGGGUCCCACAGGCUUAGCCACACCACUGCCGGCGCGGCGGGGUGUUGAAUAAGCCCUGACUGUUUUUAUCCUCGUUUAACCCUCCCGAAGACCUUCUGAGUGCCAAAUGCUGAACUGCCUUUCUGAGAGAGCUCUAAAAGGGAAAUACAAGCCAGCCCUCCUCGAAUCCCCUCCAUCACGUGUGCACAGAACAGGAGCGGUGGGGAGGGGGGAGCAGAAGAAAGCCUCAGAGAUCACUUAACUCCAUCUUUUUCCUGUUGCGAGAAUUUGAGGCCCGGAGAGGUCAAGCCAUUUGACCAAGGUCACAGAGUGAGUUAGAGGUGAAGCUGGGACUAGAACCUGGGUGUCUGUUGCAGACUUGCACUCUCUUGCCAACUAAGAUACUGUGAGAAUUUCACUCGCACCUCUGGGAGAGAAGAAGCAGACUCUCCCCCAGGAGCAGGUGCAAGAAGCACUACGCCCGCCCAAGGUGAGAUGCGUUGGCUAGACUUCGGCUUUGCCCUCUGUUCCUCUCAGAUGGGGCUCUGUGCUUUCUUGGCUUGUGGAGCACCCCAGAGUCAUUGGGGCUCCAGUCUGAGCGUCCAACUCUCCCAGGAAUGAUGCUUCUCUCACAGGAAUGUACCAACAGCAGGUGUUCUGCAGACUCUUCCUCGGCUUAGCCAAGAGCAAGUUGCCCUUCUAAGAGCCUGUUGCAUCUGGCUGCUAGAUGACCUUCUUUCUCAUUUUCUCUCUACUGACCUUCUGGGUAAACAGUUCGGGGAGACUUAAAUUCAUGGAACCAGUAAAUGAAAAGGGGCCACCAAGUUCCCCUGGUCUGUACUUACUCCACUCAAUCCAGGGACCCCCUCUAUGACACCCCAGGUGGAUACCACCCUCAGCUCGAACCCAUUCUCAGGAUGAACCAUUCCUCCUGCCUCACUCCCAGCGCCCCCUGCUGCUGGACCCAAGCGAUAGAGGAGUCAGUCACCCUGUGAUGACCCUUUAUGCUGAAACAGACCAAGUGUUUACCCUUCUCUGGACUACAGCCUGUGUUUUCGAUCAUGAACAAGGAACAAGCCCAAACAGACAUGACCAUUCUUGAUCGGCCAAAGACUGAGUGUCCAUUUGGCCAAAGACUGAGUGUGGGCUAGAUCGGGCUCUCGCUCAAUUUACUUUUCCUAUCUGAUUUCCGUGAAGAAAAGAAAGAGAGAGAAGAAAGAAAGAAAGAAAGAAAGAAAGAAAGAAAGAAAGAAAGAAAGAAAGAAAGAAAGAAAGAAAGAGAAAGAAAGAGAAGAGAAGAAAAGAAAAGAAAAGAAAAGAAAAGAAAAGAAAAGAAAAGAAGAAAAAGAAAGCUUGUCUACCUGCUCUAGAGAAAUUGAGCAAGAAAAAAAGAUAAGUGCCCAGCCUGUUCUUUUGCUUCUUGCUAGCAAUCCUGGUGAGAAUUCUGACUGAGGAGGAAAUUGGGCCCACCCAAGCCCUUCAAGUAGUCAUUUUGUGGUGGACUCUGUGAUAUGCCCCUAGGUGAGAACAGAAGCCAGAAUUGAUGUCCACUCCCAAUUUCUUGGUUGAAGUCAUAAAGAUAAUGGCAAGAAGGACAUUUAUGCUGGACUGUCACUAUCUGGAGGAUGAUGUUGGACAAGAAGAGGAGGACAAGAGUGACAUUUUCUCCAUCAGAGGAAUGAGCUUCCCAACCACUGGAGAGUCAAAAUGGAAGAGCAUGAAUUAUAUACUCAACACAGAUUCCCAGGACUGGGCUUUGUAUGACCACCUAAUGGAUUUCCUUGUGGACCAAGGGGGUGGAUGACACUUUUUUCAGAUGAGUUCAGCAUGGCCCUUGAUCACCAAACUUUCUCAGAGACCUCGAAAGUUUUGUCAAGAGCCAAUAGCAUUUUGCCAGACAAAAUGCUGAAUACUUUGAUUUUAUGGCAGGCUUUGGUCAGUGAACAAAACCUACUUUGAAGCCAGAUACAUGUGCUUCAAAAUGGUUUUCAUCCUCAUAUCAUAAAAAAUGAUUCAAAUUGAUUUCUGUUGCCUUCUUAUUUAUAAUUCCUUUGUUUCUUCUCUACAAAUCCAUUAUUUCUAGGUUUUUGUAUAACAUCAUGAUGGAGAAUAAAACUGGUUUAUCUCCCCCACGCCCACAAAAAGGAAGGAAUGAAGGACUUCUUCCCUCAGCUGCUAGGAGUAGCUUGGAGGCCAGCUCUCAGCGGGCAGCAGCUCAGGAACUGCCUCAGCUGAAUGAAGAGUCAUGUCCCCAAGGUCAUGGUCGCAUUCCUGAUUGAUACAGAGAUAUAUAUAUCUAGCUCUCUUGUCUCAUCUCUGGAUAGUUCUGAAGGGUCAUCCAUCUUUAGAACUGCCCUCAGGGCCACGGUCGCAGCUUCUCUUGAGACUCCAUCACAGUUGGGCUUCCCCCUCUGCCGAAUCUGCUCCCUUCCCAAGGACAUCCCUGGUAAACUUCUCAUGUACCGAUCCUUUCUGAGUCUGAUUCCCAGGGAACCCAGAAAUGAGCUGUCCAUUUUGAAAGAAAGGAAGUCACACACAAUAUUCAUUCAGAGUUUCUAACUUAGAGAAUUCAUGACAUAGAGUUCUUUUGAUUUGAGCUAGUUCCCCUAUUUGACACCUCCCACAGACAAAGAACCCACCCAUUUAUACCUCUUUGUUUAUAGAGAGGUGCGUAUAUUUAUGAGAAGAUAAUUAUACCUUCCCAGGGCCAGGGUUGCUCAUCAUUGCUAUAAAAGAAAGUUGAAAGAAGCAGAUAAUUCACCAAAACUCUCUUUACUUUUUUGUCAUUCAGUGAAAACUGAUACUCACUUUGUUCUUUUAAUUGGCACUGCCCCAACCAGUGAGGUUGAGAAUGUUUGCAGGUGUUUAUUAGCCAGGUAAAUUCUUCUCCUGUGACUUGUCUAUUCAUAGAUAAUUUGCCUAUUUUUCUUUUUGUUUUUCCUGUCUUUUUUCAUAAUAACUGGUAAUAAAUUGUUGGACAUA